AUGCCGCGGCGCCGGGCGCUGGCGGCGGGGCCGCCGCUGCUGCCCGGGGCGGCGGCGGCGCAGGGGGAGCGCGGGAAGAGCAGGAGGAAGAAGAUGGCGGUGGCGCGGCUGGGCGGCGGCCGCGGGGGCUUCUUCGGGGCCGUCAGGCGGCUGCGGAUGCGGUGGGUGGCGGCGGCCUACCGGCGGGCGCUGCGCCGGCUGCGCGCCUUCUACGCCCGGGCGCUGGAGGACCUCCUCGAGGGCGCGGCCGCCAUCAGCACGAUGCAAUCAAACUACGCCGGCGCUGACUGCUCCUUCGGCACCGCCUUCGCGCCCGCCGUCACCGCCGGCAACCGCUACUGA
rnacentral:rRNA from 1 species